AGUGGCGAACGGGUGAGUAAUACAAUGGAACGUGCCCUGUAGUGGGGGAUAACUAGUCGAAAGAUUAGCUAAUACCGCAUACGACCUGAGUGUGAAAGUGGGGGACCGCAAGGCCUCAUGCUAUAGGAGCGGCCGAUGUCUGAUUAGCUAGUUGGUGAGGUAAAGGCUCACCAAGGCGACGAUCAGUAGCUGGUCUGAGAAGACGAACAGCCACACUGGGACUGAGACACGGCCCAGAAUCCUACGGGAGGCAGCAGUGGGGAAUUUUGGACAAUGGGGGCAACCCUGAUCCAGCAAUGCCGCUUGUGUGAAGAAGGCCUUCGGGUUGUAAAGCACUUUUGUCCGGAAAGAAAUCGCACUUACUAAUAUUAGGUGUGGAUGACGGUACCGGAAGAAUAAGGACCGGCUAACUACGAGCCAGCAGCCGCGGUAACACGUAGGGUCCAAGCGUUAAUCGGAAUUACUGGGCGUAAAGCGUGCGCAGGCGGUUGUGCAAGACCGAUGUGAAAUCCCCGGGCUUAACCUAGGAAUUGCAUUGGUGACUGCACGGCUAGAGUGUGUCAGAGGGGGGUAGAAUUCCACGUGUAGCAGUGAAAUGCGUAGAAAUGUGGAGGAAUACCGAUGGCGAAGGCAGCCCCCUGGGAUAACACUGACGCUCAUGCACGAAAGCGUGGGGAGCAAACAGGAUUAGAUACCCUGGUAGUCCACGCCCUAAACGAUGUCAACUAGUUGUUGGGGAUUCAUUUCCUUAGUAACGUAGCUUACGCGUGAAGUUGACCGCCGGGGGAGUAUGGUCGCAAGAUUUAAACUCAAAGGAAUUGACGGGGACCCGCACAAGCGGUGGAUGAUGUGGAUUAAUUCGAUGCAACGCGAAAAACCUUACAUACCCUUGACAUGCCACUAACGAAGCAGAGAUGCAUUAGGUGCUCGAAAGAGAAAGUGGACACAGGUGCUGCAUGGCUGUCGUCAGCUCGUGUCGUGAGAUGUUGGGUUAAGUCCCGCAACGAGCGCAACCCUUGUCUCUAGUUGCUACGAAAGGGCACUCUAGGGAGACUGCCGGUGACAAACCGGAGGAAGGUGGGGAUGACGUCAAGUCCUCAUGGCCCUUAUGGGUAGGGCUUCACACGUCAUACAAUGGUGCAUACAGAGGGUUGCCAAGCCGCGAGGUGGAGCUAAUCCCAGAAAAUGCAUCGUAGUCCGUAUCGUAGUCUGCAACUCGACUACGUGAAGCUGGAAUCGCUA
rnacentral:rRNA from 1 species